ACAGCAGCAGCCGCGGUAGUACGGAGGGUGCAAGCGUUACUCGGAAUCACUGGGCGUAAAGGACGCGUAGGCGGAUUAUCAAGUCUCUUGUGAAAUCUAACGGCUUAACCGUUAAACUGCUUGGGAAACUGAUAAUCUAGAGUAAGGGAGAGGCAGAUGGAAUUCUUGGUGUAGGGGUAAAAUCCGUAGAUAUCAAGAAGAAUACCUAUUGCGAAGGCGAUCUGCUGGAACUUAACUGACGCUAAUGCGUGAAAGCGUGGGGAGCAAACAGGAUUAGAUACCCGCGUAGUCCCUGUCUCUUAUAA
rnacentral:rRNA from 1 species